CUGGCUUUAAAAAUAUGCCAUCAACAAGGCCUCCUCUAAAAAAAGCAAACUUGCUGAUGAGGGAAAAAAGAAACUGGAAAAAGCACUAGACAAAGCCAAGGAUGAUCUUUCAGGCCUCAGUGAGAAGUUA